AAUACGAAUUUGUCUGUCAGAACAUUAUAAUUGAUACUAUUAGUCAAGACUCAAAAGUUGGAUCUUAAUUCGUUGACUGGUAUGCAACUACAAAUUUUUCUAGGUGCUAACAAAUAUACAGACCGAGAGAAAGCAAAGUCGUUUACAUACAUACAAAAUAUUAAAGUCCCAAUUAAGACGUUAUGCUAGCAAAUAUAUAGACCG
rnacentral:lncRNA from 1 species